rnacentral:rRNA from 1 species
GACGAACGCUGGCGGCGUGCUUAACACAUGCAAGUCGAACGGAAAGGCCCUGCUUGCAGGGUGCUCGGGUGGCGAACGGGUGAGGAAAACGUGGGUGAUCUGCCCCUUAAUUUGGGAUAAGCCUGGGUAACUGGGUCUAAUACUGGAUAGCACCAUGCUGCAGGUGGUGUGGUGGUAAGAUUCGUUUCGGUGAGGGAUGAGCGCGCGGCCUAUCAGCUUGUUGGUGGGGUAAUGGCCUACGAAGGCGUCGACGGGUAGCCGGCCUGAGAGGGUGGACGGCCACAUUGAGACUGAGAGACGGCGCAGACUCCUGCGGGAGGCAGCAGUGGGGAAUAUUGCACAAGGGGCGCAAGCCUGAUGCGGCGACGCCGCGUGGGGGGUGACGGCCUUCGGGUUGUAAACUCCUUUCGGCCAUGACGAAGCCCUUGUGGUGACGGUAGUGGAAGAAGAAGCACCGGCUAACUACGUG